CCGGUUGAUCCUGCCAGAGGCUACUGCCAUCAGAGUUCGAUUUAGCCAUGUUAGUCGAGGGUGCUUCUUCUUCGGAAGAAGUAACCCGGCGGACGGCUCAGUAACACGUGGAUAACUUGCCCUUGGGUCUGGGAUAACCCCUGAGAAAUUGGGGACAAUACCGGAUAGGGCAUCGAUAGCUGGAAUGCACGAUGUCCAAAAGCUGAGGCGCCCAAGGAUAGGUCUGCGGCCGAUUAGGUUGUUGUUGAUGUAAUGGAUCAACAAGCCUGCAAUCGGUACGGGUUGUGAGAGCAAGAGCCCGGAGAUGGGUUCUGAGAAAAGAACCCAGGUCCUACGGGACGCAUCAGGCGCGAAAACUUUACAAUGUGCGAAAGCACGAUAAGGGAACUCUGAGUGCCUCCUAUGGAGGCUGUUCAGGUGUCUAAAAAGCACUUGAAGUAAGGGCUGGGUAAGACCGGUGCCAGCCGCCGCGGUAACACCGGCAGCCCAAGUGGUAGCCACGAUUAUUGGGUCUAAAGCGUCCGUAGCCGGCCAGGUAAGUUCUUUGGGAAAUUUAACCGCUCAACGGUUAAGCUUUCAGGGAAUACUGCUUGGCUUGGGACCGGGAGAGGUCAGAGGUACUUCAAGGGUAGGGGUGAAAUCCGUUAAUCCUUGA
rnacentral:rRNA from 1 species